GGGCGGUUGGCUCAGCCGGGAGAGCGCCCGCGUGACGUGCGGGAGGUCGCAGGUUCGAUCCCUGCACCGCCCAC
rnacentral:tRNA from 1 species